rnacentral:rRNA from 1 species
AUUGAACGCUGGCGGCAUGCCUUACACAUGCAAGUCGAACGGCAUCGCGGGAAAGCUUGCUUUCCUGGCGGCGAGUGGCGCACGGGUGAGUAACACAUCGGAACGUACCGGCUAGUGGGGGAUAACCCGUCGAAAGACGGGCUAAUACCGCAUACGCUCUUCGGAGGAAAGCAGGGGACCUUUGGGCCUUGCGCUUGUCGAGCGGCCGAUGUCCGAUUAGCUAGUUGGUGGGGUAAAGGCCUACCAAGGCGACGAUCGGUAGCGGGUCUGAGAGGACGAUCCGCCACACUGGGACUGAGACACGGCCCAGACUCCUACGGGAGGCAGCAGUGGGGAAUCUUGGACAAUGGGGGCAACCCUGAUCCAGCAAUGCCGCGUGGGUGAAGAAGGCCUUCGGGUUGUAAAGCCCUGUCGGCAGGGAAGAAAUAGGCGGUGCGAAUAACCCUGCUGGAUGACGGUACCUGCAGAAGAAGCACCGGCUAACUACGUG